CCUACGGGAGACAGCAGUGGGGGAUAUUGGACAAUGGGGGCAACCCUGACCCAGCAACGCCGCGUGAGGGAAGACGGCUUUCGGGAUGUAAACUUAUUUUCUCAGGGACGAAAAAAGUGGCGGUACCGGAGGAAUAAGCCACGGCUAACUACGUGCCAGCAGCCGCGGUAAUACGAAGGGGGCAAGCGUUCGCCGGAUAUAUUGGGUUGAAAGGGCGUGUAGGCGGGAGCGCAAGUCAGAUGUGAAAACUCAGGUCCCAACCCUGAGCCUGCAUUUGAAACUGUGUUUCUUGAGUGAUGGAGAGGCAAGCGGAAUUCCGAGUGUAGCGGUGAAAUGCGUAGAUAUACGGAGGAACACCAGUGGCGAAGGCGGAUUGCUGGACAGUAACUGACGCUGAGGCGCGAAAGCGUGGGGAGCAAACAGGAUUAGAUACCCGUGUAGUC
rnacentral:rRNA from 1 species